AACGAACGCUGGCGGCAUGCCUAACACAUGCAAGUCGAACGAGACCUUCGGGUCUAGUGGCGCACGGGUGCGUAACGCGUGGGAACCUGCCCUUAGGUUCGGAAUAACUCCCCGAAAGGGGGGCUAAUACCGGAUAAUGUCUUCGGACCAAAGAUUUAUCGCCUUUGGAUGGGCCCGCGUUGGUUUAGCUAGUUGGUAGGGUAAAAGCCUACCAAGGCGACGAUCCAUAGCUGGUCUGAGAGGAUGAUCAGCCACACUGGGACUGAGACACGGCCCAGACUCCUACGGGAGGCAGCAGUGGGGAAUAUUGGACACUGGGCGAAAGCCUGAUCCAGCAAUGCCGCGUGAGUGAUGAAGGCCUUAGGGUUGUAAAGCUCUUUUAACCGGGAUGAUAAUGACAGUACCGGGAGAAUAAGCUCCGGCUAACUCCGUG
rnacentral:rRNA from 1 species